UACAGAGGGAGCAAGCGUUGUUCGGAAUUACUGGGCGUAAAGGGCGCGUAGGCGGUUCGAUAAGUCCCGUGUGAAAUCCCUCGGCUCAACUGAGGAAUUGCACGGGAAACUGACGGGCUUGAGUUCGGGAGAGGGAGGCGGAAUUCCGGGUGUAGCGGUGAAAUGCGUAGAUAUCCGGAGGAACACCGGUGGCGAAGGCGGCUUCCUGGACCGACACUGACGCUGAGGCGCGAAAGCUAGGGGAGCAAACGGG
rnacentral:rRNA from 1 species